AUUGAACGCUGGCGGCAUGCCUAACACAUGCAAGUCGAACGGGGCAGCAAUGCCUAGUGGAGGACGGGGGAGGAAGUCGUAGGAAACUGCCCAUAAGUGGGGGAUAACCAGGGGAACCCCUGACUAAUACCUCAUGACCUCUUCGGAGAAAAGCGGGGGACCGCAAGGCCUCUCGCUUCUGGAUUAGCCUACGUCUGAUUAGCUAGUUGGUAGGGUAAAGGCCUACCAAGGCGACGAUCAGUAACUGGUCUGAGAGGAUGAUCAGUCACACCGGAACUGAGACACGGUCCGGACUCCUACGGGGGGCAGCAGUGGGGAAUAUUGGACAAUGGGCGCAAGCCUGAUCCAGCAAUGCCGCGUGUGUGAAGAAGGCCUUCGGGUUGUAAAGCACUUUAGCCUGGAAAGAAAAAACUUUGGUUAACACCCAAAGUCUUGACGGUACCAGGAGAAUAAGCACCGGCUAACUCUGUGCCAGCAGCCGCCGUAAGAC
rnacentral:rRNA from 1 species